rnacentral:rRNA from 1 species
UAAUACGGAGGGUGCGAGCGUUGUCCGGAUUUAUUGGGUUUAAAGGGUGCGUAGGUGGCUUUAUAAGUCAGUGGUGAAAUACAGCCGCUCAACGGUUGAGGUGCCAUUGAUACUGUAAAGCUUGAAAUAAUUGGAGGCUGCCGGAAUGGAUGGUGUAGCGGUGAAAUGCAUAGAUAUCAUCCAGAACACCGAUUGCGAAGGCAGGUGGCUACGAUUUGUUUGACACUGAGGCACGAAAGCAUGGGGAGCAAACAGGAUUAGAUACCCUGGUAGUCCAUGCUGUAAACGAUGAGGACUCGCUGUUGGUGUUCAUGCAUCAGCGGCUUAGGGAAACCGUUAAGUCCUCCACCUGGGGAGUACGCCGGCAACGGUG